rnacentral:rRNA from 1 species
AGAGUUUGAUCCUGGCUCAGGACGAACGCUGGCGGCGCGCCUAACACAUGCAAGUCGAACGAGCGAGAGAGAGCUUGCUUUCUCGAGCGAGUGGCGAACGGGUGAGUAACGCGUGAGGAACCUGCCUCAAAGAGGGGGACAACAGUUGGAAACGACUGCUAAUACCGCAUAAGCCCACGGCUCGGCAUCGAGCAGAGGGAAAAGGAGCAAUCCGCUUUGAGAUGGCCUCGCGUCCGAUUAGCUAGUUGGUGAGGUAACGGCCCACCAAGGCGACGAUCGGUAGCCGGACUGAGAGGUUGAACGGCCACAUUGGGACUGAGACACGGCCCAGACUCCUACGGGAGGCAGCAGUGGGGAAUAUUGCACAAUGGGGGAAACCCUGAUGCAGCGACGCCGCGUGGAGGAAGAAGGUCUUCGGAUUGUAAACUCCUGUUGUUGAGGAAGAUAAUGACGGUACUCAACAAGGAAGUGACGGCUAACUACGUGCCAGCAGCCGCGGUAAAACGUAGGUCACAAGCGUUGUCCGGAAUUACUGGGUGUAAAGGGAGCGCAGGCGGGAAGACAAGUUGGAAGUGAAAUCCAUGGGCUCAACCCAUGAACUGCUUUCAAAACUGUUUUUCUUGAGUAGUGCAGAGGUAGGCGGAAUUCCCGGUGUAGCGGUGGAAUGCGUAGAUAUCGGGAGGAACACCAGUGGCGAAGGCGGCCUACUGGGCACCAACUGACGCUGAGGCUCGAAAGUGUGGGUAGCAAACAGGAUUAGAUACCCUGGUAGUCCACACUGUAAACGAUGAUUACUAGGUGUUGGAGGAUUGACCCCUUCAGUGCCGCAGUUAACACAAUAAGUAAUCCACCUGGGGAGUACGACCGCAAGGUUGAAACUCAAAGGAAUUGACGGGGGCCCGCACAAGCAGUGGAGUAUGUGGUUUAAUUCGACGCAACGCGAAGAACCUUACCAAGUCUUGACAUCCUGCGACGCACAUAGAAAUAUGUGUUUCCUUCGGGACGCAGAGACAGGUGGUGCAUGGUUGUCGUCAGCUCGUGUCGUGAGAUGUUGGGUUAAGUCCCGCAACGAGCGCAACCC